rnacentral:snRNA from 1 species
GUGCUUGCUUUGGUAGCACAUGUACUAAAACUGGAACAAUACAGAGAAUAUUAGUAUGGCCCUUGUGUAAGGAUGACAUGAAAAUUCAUGAAGAGUUCCAUAUUUUA